rnacentral:snRNA from 1 species
GGAUGUGAGGGUGAUCUGGCUGUGACAUCUGUCCCUCCAUUGAUCUCCAGGGUUGAUUCCACUAAUCUCACUGGCUAGUUGGGUGUCCCUUCCUCCCUCACCACUCCAUGUGUAUCCCUUUGGAAGCUGUGAGCCCUGGGUAAAAGAGGACAACCUUCCCCUAUACAGGACUCUUCUUCCCAUUCUUGGUACUCAAUUAAGCUGUGCUUUGCUCCAAACAAGCUCUCAAGUUUAGGCUUCAUUACACACAUGAUAAAUUGUGU